AAACUUCGCUGAAUAUACCGGUUUUCGUUAUAUCACCGAAGGGAAGCAUCGUUGGGCGCGGUCAGUACUUGGGUGGGUGACCACCUGGGAACAUCGCGUGCCGUU
rnacentral:rRNA from 1 species